GCUCGUAUAUAGUGAUUGUGACAUUUUGUUUUUAAGUUAGUGCCUAUUAUUCAAAAAAAGUUUCAAUAAGCCUGCAGACACCAGUGGGAGACGAUGGGAGAGCGGGGCUGAUGGAUCCCCAGCUGCACAACUCCAGCAAAGCGAAACAACUCACAGGAGCCACCUGCGUGAGCCACUACCUAUAAAAAGGCACUGAAACACCAGCUUCCAAAUACACCUUGUGACCCGUGUGUGAAGUAAGCCAUGCUGAGCCCCGUGGCAGCACACUGCAGAAAGCCUGCCUGCCCUGUGUGGGUGCCUGGGAGCUGGGGACCAAGCACAGCACACGUGCAUCAGCAGCUGGAGCUGCUCAGGCUUUAUCUCCUUGGCCACAGGGCCGAGGUUGCAUACUCCUUCACGCUCUGCAAGGUUGUGUUGAGAAAGGGUGAUGGCAAGAGCCAACUCACAGGUUAACGUCGUGGGGAAGAGGAGCCUUGGGAAUAUUUUUAAUUAAAGAUGUGGAUAAGAUCAGCACGGCCAACAUACACCCCACUAAAGUAUUCCACAACCAGUGUGGGCACAGCUCCACGCUGCCUUCAGCUGCAGCGCCCACCCUGCACAGCCUCACGCUGUGCACAUCCUUCGAGCUGGAGCGGAAAGGAGAGCAAUGUCACACCGCCUGCAUCCUCUGCAAGUCCCUCCAACCGAGCACAGGCUUGUCUUGAUCUGUCAGUGGGAACUGCUGAAGCCAAAAGGUAACUUUUUUUUAACAUUUUAAAAACGUGAGUUCAUUCGUUUUCAUUCAGUUUACUCGAUAUUCUCUUUUUUUCUGUUCAAAGGCUUGGAGAAUGCAACUUCCUCCCCACUCUUAUCUAAGCACAGAAGAAAAUCUUUUCAAAAC
rnacentral:lncRNA from 1 species